AAUACGACUCUCAUAAUAACACCAAGCUUUUAUCAGAAUGAUGCUGCGUUUAAAGAGGUGAUUUCUGCCAACAAUCUGAUCAACCUGCAACAUAAGUUGCGUCAGAACUACCAAAUUCCAGAAACAAAAAUUUAAUCAAAUUUAUAUCCACAGAGAGAUCUGAGAUACGACAAAGCCAUGGUGCUAGAAGGUAUAAACUCAAUUUGCAAUUAAGGAAACUAUAUAUAUAUGCUCAAAAAUACUCCGCCUUUAGAUUAGUGACACGUGGACUCCAACAAGCUGAAGAGUCUGUCUACAGUGGGCAAAUAAUCCAUAUACAAAAGAUAAUGUAUAUGGGUAAGCACUUGUCGAAGACUAUACAGCCCUACCAAACCAGAAGAUACAUGAUGAACCACCCGGUAAUGGCAGCCGAUCAGGAGGGGAGCUGACCCUUCGGGACCAUGAUCAAGGUGAAACAUGCUCCUCUAUAGACGAAAAGCCAUUAAAUGCUAACAAGACACGCGCAUUAAUGAGCCAGGUAACAAUAGUACGGUGAGCACAAUAAAUAUCUCCUAGUCUGACAUUGUAACUGCCAUUGCAAGAAUGGCAGGGUAUCUCCUUUACAGAAUGAGAGACAAUCCUAUAUAGCAAGCCGUUAAAGCUGAGCACCAUAGUCCUAUCCUAUACCUUUAACCACUCUUGGCGCUCCCCAAUUGGGCAAACUGUCAAUAUAAAAGACAUCACCCCCUAAAGGUAAAACAUUUGAACUCUCACACUCUUAACACACACAUUCUAUUUGCAGCCUAUCCUUUUCUUACACGUCCACUAACUUAAGCAUCAGAGUGCCAAUGGGGAAUACACCCCAUUGGCCUUUUGACGAUUUAUUGCCUUGCAGAAGAAGUUAUAACCUGAACCCGUUUAGACCCCAAUCGUAUACAUCUUCAUACCGCUCCAACAGCUCACCCCAUACUCGUGUAUCCAUCCCUAUACUCUUAAAUGUGUCAUUCAUCCGUGAUAUCCUUGGUAUCGCCAAUUAUAUAUAUAUAUAUCAUCCAGAAUAAUUCAGGUAAAAAAAAAUCAGAAAACAU
rnacentral:misc_RNA from 1 species